UCACGUGCUACAAUGGCAUAUGCAAUGAGACGCAAUACCGCGAGGUGGAGCAAAUCUAUAAAAUAUGUCCCAGUUCGGAUUGUUCUCUGCAACUCGAGAGCAUGAAGCC
rnacentral:rRNA from 1 species